UUUUAGUAGAGAUGGGGUUUCACCAUGUUGGCCAGGCUGAUCUCAAACUCCUGACCUCAAAUGAUUCACCUUGGCCUCCCAAAGUCCUGGGAUUACAGGCAUGAGCCACCACACUCAGCCAAGUAUGAGACUUGCAAGACUGGGGAUUUAAGCUCUCUUACACACACACACACACACACACACACACACACACACACACGGAUUUGAUUGCCCAAGGGAUUAAAUAAAGGACUACCUAUUGGUGGGGUAUUUUGAGAAUUAUUCUCCCUGGCAUGGAAGCUCUCUCAAAGGAAGAGCGCUUAUUUAUAUAUAUAUUUAAACUUUUAUAUAUGUGUGUGUAUGUGUAUAUUUGUAUAUAUAUAUAAAGUUGCAAACCGUGAUCCACAAAGGCUGAACAAAAUCCAGAACUAGAACUUGGUCUCCUGGCCUUUAGCCCAGGCAACUCCCUUUUUGCCCACCUUGCAACAAGAUAUUAAGAAACAAUAAACAUGAGAGGUGCACUUUAUUUUGGGAGUUGCUGUGGGAGAUUAUUCGGUCCCAUAUGUAGUUUUGGAAAUAUUCAUUUACCUCUAAGACUCAGAGGGCCUUAUUGUGCGGAGAAGGAAGGAAAAUACUGUCUUUGAUUGUAAUUCUAGAUGACGAUGGAACCAAGCUUCAACAAAGCUCAGUCAUAUCAGAUUAAAGCAAUCAAAGGCCAGCCAACAAAGUCAAGUUUUUACAUUUCUGACUUUUAGGUGGCAUUAAGGAAAAAAUGAUUGUAAUUUUUAAAUGUCAUCUGUUUAAGCCAAAUCCCCUCAUGGAAGCCAACAUUUGUUGGUAGAUUUUGUUAAAAAAAAAAAAAAAAUAGACCAGGCUAUUCCAGUUGUGCUAAACUGAAAAUAACUCAUAGUCUUUAAUUCACUCAGAUAAAAACAAGACUCCUGUUAACAGAAAUAUAGGCCAAGCAGGGCAAAGCAGAAAAAGUGAAAAAGCAGCAACCUGUGUUCCCUUCCACCCUAACAGCAGGACAAGCUCAGCAGUGACUUAAGAAUCUUCAAAUAUUAAAAGCUGUGUGAGCAUCUGCUCUUUAUUUCCCUCAAGCUGGAUGUGGCUACAUUUUCUGCUGGGUAAAACAAUGUGUGUUUACUGUUGACAAGUAGAAAGCUCAGUGAUGCCUCAAGAUAUAUUACUGUUCAUCAAAGAAAAAAAAAAAGUCCAGCCAGGAAGAUUGCUUAAGUUGAGGAGUUUGAGGUUGCAGUAAGCUGUGACUGUACCACUCCACUCCAGCCUGGUAGACAAAGUGAGACCCUGUCUCUUAAAAAAAAAAAAAUUAAAUAUGUUUGUUAGGGUCAUUUGCCAAAACCAUCUGUUGUUUUAAGUGUUGUCAUAGAAGCCUGGCUUCAAAGGCCGCUAUAGGGUAGGAGGAGGUAAUUGUGGAGCAUGGGAUAUUGAUCACACUGAUGGGAGAUUCUCAGUGGGGUCUCAGGGCACUGCUCCGGUGAGGUUCGGUUUGUGAAAAUGUACUUGGUAUUGCCAGCGUUUCCAUCAACUCACAGUUGCCCUGAGAACAGGAGAGUUAUUUAAAGGACAAGGCAACGGAGAGCAUCUGGGGCUUAAAAAGUUUACCUCUUAGCUCCCCUGUUUGUCUAAUUGCUCUGCCUUUCUUUAUUUCCAACUUACAGAGUAGAAAGGGUGGUUUUAAGUCUUGGCGGGCCUGCGGUGCUGUUAAAAGGCAGGUUUCUGGGCUCAUCUCCAUAACUGGAUCUGAGGGUAAAGUAAAGACGUUUUGGUCACACUGCCUUUCUUGGACCUCUCUUUUAGGAGUCCUAUCUUACUCCUUUUUAUAUCUGAUUCUCAUACCAACUUUGUUAGAUCGCUCCUUCCAUUAUUACUAUUAUGAAUAUGAAGAUAAGGAGGGUAGCUGUGGUAAGCGGCCUCUAAGAUGGCCUGAUGAUAUCUGCCUCCAGAUAUUCACACCCUUAUGCAAUCCUUCUCCUUGAGUAUGAAUUGGACCUAGUACCCCACUUCUUGUGAUUAGAAUAUGGUAAAAGUGAUGGAAUGUCACCUCUGAGGCCAGGUUGCAGAGGCUGCGGCUCCCAUUCCUGUGACCUCGGUCUUUCGGCUUCCUGCACAUCGGCUGCCUUGUUGGGAGCACUCUCAGGCAGCCCAUGGAGAAUCUCCAUCACAAGGAACCGAGGCACUGUGACCUGCUUGGAAUCUGCUUAGAAGCGGAUUCUCCAGCUCUUGUCGGGCCCAGCUUGACUGCAACUCCAUGAGAGACUUGGAUCCAGAGGCACCCAGCUAAACCAUUCCUGAACUCCUGGCCUAUAGAAAAUGUGAGAAAAAGGUUGUAAGUCAUCAGGUCUCACAAUAAUUUGUUUCCAACAAUAGAUAACUAAGUUUGUGGCAAAAGCAGGAGGAGCCGCAGAUCAAAAAAGGGCUUGGCCACUUUCACCACCGUUUUGCCUGGGGCUGGAGUUUGAUGCCCUUUCUGAAAAAUAGGCUCAAGAUUAAAAUGGACACUAGCUGUGUCUUUUCUUUUGUCUUUAAAUCAUUUCAGUUUUUCACUCCAUCACUGCCUCAAGUGUGUGGUAAUAACCGCAGCCGCCUUUUGUAACUACUGCGGAUCCCCCUGUUGCUCCUCUGUGGAGCCCCCCCAGCCCAUCAGCACCCACACCCCCUUCACACCAAGGGUCAGUGAGCAGCACGGCUUCCUGCCCAGGGCCAGCCACACCCGUGGGCCUUGUGGCCAAGAGCUUCUUCCCAUCACAAGCUGGCUCGAUGUCUUGGGUGUGAUGUCUGCGAGCUUAUUAUGAACUUUGAGCUCACAGAAAACAGUGUUCUAGGAAACACGGUUUUGAGACGUGGAGGAGGGGAGAGGUUGCAGGCAAGGUGCCUGUGAAGUCCAACUCACAUCAGCCCCUUCUGAGAAAGACAGAAAAAUUGCAGCAUAGACCAAACAAGGGUUUGGGUGGCAGCUCUCUGUGCCUGGGGGCUUGCCCUGCUGGAGCGGAGGAACAGAUGAGCAGCCAACAUCAGGGAGACUCUGCCUUUCCUUGUAGCACGUUUUACUCCCGGGAACAUUAUUUAACCUGGUGCCCGGUACGCCAUCCAGCUUCCAGGCUUCUAGAAUCUUCCCCCGCCCCCCACCGCACACACACAACAGGCCAUAGACAGCUCAAGCACCAUUCUUAUCUUCCACUCAAAUUGAUCAGUUUGGUGUCCUGUUAGGUGCCUGUUUUCUCUUAGUUACCAAUGAUCCCCGUAAAGUAGUUCUCCUCCCUCCUUUAAGGUUUCGCCAGCAGUAUAAUGUCAAAAAACAAAACAAUAGAAGACUCUGGGGUCUAACACAAAUUGCUCACUUCUUUUGUCCAUACAUUUAGAAAAACUAACAUCUUUGAGGACCAUCGCUUCUUAGAAGAAUGGACAUUUUAGUAUCAAAAGGAAAAAAACACACGUGGGAACACACACAGACAUACCCCAGGUAUAUAAAGGAUCACGUCAUACCCCAAAUGUAAAAAGGGCAUAAACUCAGAAUAAAGGAUAACUUUCUAAAUUGAAUAAACAUUUAUGUGAAAAACUCAGUGUCCCAACUUUACCUUUUUUCCCUCUGCUUGGUUUGGGGUCUCGGUUUGGCAUCUAACUCCAAAUCAAGAAGUCUGACUCUCGCACGUGGAAGCCUUUUCUAACUCCUGUUCUGAGGUAGAAAUCCAUGCUAUAGCCAAGCUAGUUACGUGUCACGCUCCCCAGAUAAUAUAGGUCAACGUGGCUAAAACAUGCCUAUCUUCAAAAGGCCGUUAAGAAAUAGAUGUAGUGGUGGGCAUUUAUGGCAGAAUAAUGAGGAAGUCUGGCUUUUCUGUAAAUUUCUGGGGUUAAAAAAAAGGCAUAUUUUGCAGCAAACUUACGGAAUCAGCUCUGGUCAUCCAGAGCCUUUUUCCAAAGUCGCAACUUUUCAAGACUUCGUUGCUCACCACAGCCCCGUCAACUGCAAAAGCAGCCGGCAUCAGACAUUCUUCAUUUAAAAACCAUAACCUGGAGCGCGUGGGUUGGGCGACAGCCCGGUCUUUGGGUUAAGGCAGCUCUCGAAACUGAGCUAGUUUCAAGCCGUGUUUUUAAAUGAAAAUCACUAGCCAUGUGCCAGUUAUUAUGGUGACCAAAUUCAGUAGGAAUGCAUUUCACUCAAAGCACGAUUCAAAACGAAACCCUGACAUCGGAAAUGCCAGCGGAUAAACUGGAGGUGAUGACGUAAACUUCAAAACAUUCGACACGAGGAAACGGCAGUGGCUUUGCGUCCCACUCAGCCCUGGCCACAGCUCUUCACGUCUGUUCCUUCGUCCUCUUCCGAGAUGACCUUAGGAGCUGUUCUGCGAAGGGCUGCUUCUCACUUUCGCAUUCUUCCAGUGCCCCCUGGUGGAAACCCAUUCCCGAUCAGCCCAGCUGCCACCACCUAGGAACCUCUGGGGGUGGAAGGAAUGCCAAUAGGAGCCUGUGUCCCAGAGAACAGAGCGGGGCAAAUCCUUCCCAGGAAAAAAAAAAAAAA